GACGAACGCUGGCGGCGUGCUUAACACAUGCAAGUCGAGCGGUAAGGCCCUUUCGGGGGUACACGAGCGGCGAACGGGUGAGUAACACGUGGGUGACCUGCCCUCAGCUCUGGGAUAAGCCCGGGAAACUGGGUCUAAUACUGGAUAUGACUCCAUGACGCAUGUUGUGGGGUGGAAAGCCUUGUGCGGCUGAGGAUGGGCCCGCGGCCUAUCAGCUUGUUGGUGGGGGAUGGCCUACCAAGGCGACGACGGGUAGCCGGCCUGAGAGGGCGACCGGCCACACUGGGACUGAGACACGGCCCAGACUCCUACGGGAGGCAGCAGUGGGGAAUCUUGCGCAAUGGGCGAAAGCCUGACGCAGCGACGCCGCGUGAGGGAUGACGGCCUCGG
rnacentral:rRNA from 1 species